CUCUCCCCUCACACGGCCUCCCUCUUUUCCCCCAAAAACCUAUCACGUGCCUUCCGUUUCCAAUUGCAAAUGAAGCGUCUUGGCUUCCGGUGGUUUCCAAUUGCAAAAUGAGAUCAGUUGUAUUAAUUUAGGUCACGUGAAGAGGUUUCAGGUAUCAAUGGCGGAUUAUCUCUCUGGGUGAAAUUGUAAGUAAAAUUAAGUUGUCUUUCAUAUUUUAUAAUAUGUGUCUUUUUUCUGGAUUGCUAGCAAUGUUCUUGUAGGUCUCCUAGGGUUUCAAUUGGCAUGGAAGGUAAGUUUAAUACAAGAAAUCGAUUUGGGUUUGCUUUUUUCUGUAAGUUGACGUGAUUACAUAUGUUGGUUUGGGUUGCAUGAUUGAUAAUUCAUCAAUCGAAUGUAUGAUAUUGGAUUUGGGAUUUUUUUUUUAUUUUUUUUUUAAUUUUAUUGACUUGAGUGGCUUAAAUUAGGAUUAAUUGUCUUGGUAAUGCUAAAUUAAAGUAAUCUAUGGGACAAAGCUAUAAUGCACCUUCCAGAUGUUAUACGAUCCGUACAAGUAAGUAACAUUACACAUUCACCUUUUGAUUUGGGUAUAACUUUUUUCUGACUACUUCUUUUUUAUUUUGCAACCUCAAGGAGGUAUGAUCCUCUGCAUAAUGGACAUGCUAUUAUAGAUGAACUGGAUGCGCUCUUAAAAGGACUGAUUGGACUUCAAGUGCACAUAUCAUAACUGUAGUCAUCCCUCUGACAUGUUGUCACUGGUAUGUGCCAUCGCGCAGCUGGUUUGAUCGCAGGACCGAUGGUUCUGUUACUGUAGUUUAGACUAAUGCUUUAAUCAUUUUCACUCACCGCUCUUGUUGCCUACACAAAUAGAGUUUUUAGUUCUUUAUUUAAUUAAGGCCUCUGAUCUAUGGUAGGAAAGUAGUUGUACUAGAAGAAGGUUUGAACAUUAUGCGAUAUCCUUUUUUUAACAUAUGUUUGUCACUCCUUUUUUUCUAACUUGGAGGGGUCUUUUUCGUUGUUCCUCGCAUUUGUAGGCUUACUUGUGAUACCAGGUUCCCUUUGUUAAAUGCAAUCUGUAUUAUGAUUUUAUAUAGUUUAUUUCAUAUAGUUGUUAUUAAUUAGUACAAUAAGAAAAGCACAUUGACCAAAAUAUAAUUUUUGCUAAAGGUGGCUAAGUGGCCGGGUCAUGAGGUCGAAUGGGUUGGGUACAUGGUAUCACAAUCGUUCGUAUAUUAGGGGAGAUAGUUAAUAGCAAAUCCAUUCCACCCCAAUUGAUUCAAUCGACCAUUUGGUAGGGAAGAUAUGUACUUCAAAAACUCCUGCUCUCUAAAUAUUUAUACUUAAAACACAAAUGUUUUUAAAAUUUUAUAUAUUUUCAGGUUGAAGACUUCAACCGGAGACAAAAAAAAACCAGUAAAGCGGGUCAAAAUCAUCUCAAAAGCAACGAUAUCAUCUGAAAUAUCAUUCCAAACCAAAUGAUGUUGCAAAGGGACAUGGAGACUAACAGUAAUAGAAAUAACGGUUUUGAGAAUGGUGGAAAAUGCUCAUCCGUGUCGGCAGACAAGGUAUCGUCGAAUGUCUAGAUCUAGAAGCAUAUAACUAUUUCUUUGGUGCUGUCGAAUAAGGCACGCACACAACGGACGCUAUCUUUAUCGGAUGAUGUGACAUUUGUUUUGCUGAUGUCGUUGUACAUGUACAUGUAGGAGUAUAGCUUGCUAUAAGUUUUUUUUAUCAUUGGCAUUUGUUCUCUA